GUGGGGAAUCUUGCGCAAUGGGCGAAAGCCUGACGCAGCAACGCCGCGUGCGGGAAGAAGGCUUUCGGGCUGUAAACCGCUUUCAGCAGGAACGAAAAUGACGGUACCUGCAGAAGAAGGAGCGGCCAACUAUGUGCCAGCAGCCGCGGUGAUACAUAGGCUUCAAGCGUUGUCCGGAUUUAUUGGGCGUAAAGAGUUCGUAGGCGGUCGAGUAAGUCGGGUGUGAAAAUUCUGGGCUCAACCCAGAGACGCCACCCGAUACUGCUUAACUUGAGUUCGAUAGGGGAGUGGGGAAUUCCUAGUGUAGCGGUGAAAUGCGCAGAUAUUAGGAGGAACACCGGUGGCGAAGGCGCCACUCUGGAUCGACACUGACGCUGAGGAACGAAAGCAUGGGUAGCAAACAGGAUUAGAUACCCGGGUAGUCC
rnacentral:rRNA from 1 species